rnacentral:rRNA from 1 species
AGUGAACGCUGGCGGUCGGCCUCCCCCCUGCACGUCGACCCGCAGCACAGUAAGAGCUUGCUCUUACGGGUGGCGAGUGGCGGACGGGUGAGGAAUACAUCGGAAUCUACUUUUUCGUGGGGGAUAACGUAGGGAAACUUACGCUAAUACCGCAUACGACCUACGGGUGAAAGCAGGGGAUCUUCGGACCUUGCGCGAUUGAAUGAGCCGAUGUCGGAUUAGCUAGUUGGCGGGGUAAAGGCCCACCAAGGCGACGAUCCGUAGCUGGUCUGAGAGGAUGAUGAGCCACACUGGAACUGAGACACGGUCCAGACUCCUACGGGAGGCAGCAGUGUGGAAUAUUGGACAAUGGGCGCAAGCCUGAUCCAGCCAUACCGCGUGGGUGAAGAAGGCCUUCGGGUUGUAAAGCCCUUUGGUUGGGAAAGAAAAGCAGCAGGUUAAUACCCCGCUGUUCUGACGGUACCCAAAGAAUAGGCACCGGCUAACUUGGUG